UACGUAGGAUGCAAGCGUUGUCCGGAUUUACUGGGCGUAAAGGGCUCGUAGGUGGCCAACUAAGUCAGACGUGAAAUCCCUCGGCUUAACCGGGGAACUGCGUCUGAUACUGGAUGGCUUGAGAUUGGGAGAGGGAUGCGGAAUUCCAGGUGUAGCGGUGAAAUGCGUAGAUAUCUGGAGGAACACCGGUGGCGAAGGCGGCAUCCUGGACCAACACUGACACUGAGGAGCGAAAGCCAGGGGAGCAAACGGG
rnacentral:rRNA from 1 species